ensembl:lncRNA
AAACAUUCGUACUCACAUUCACUCAUACCUAUGGGCAAUUUAGAUUUUUCCAAAAACAAUGGGCAAUUAAGAUUUUUCACGUGCCUCCAAAGACGCAAAGGUGUCGCCAUCGGAAAUGAUUCAGCAGCGCCUCUUCACAGCUCUGUGGGCACAAGUUGAGCAAAAACCUCUCAAAAUCACACACAGGGGAUUAAAAAAACUUGAAAAGGUGAUUUUUUUUUUUUUUUUUUUUUUUUUUAAAGACAUCAAAGUGGCUGGACAUUAGCCCUGAUCUCGUGAUCAUUGCGCUAGCCGUAGGUCAGCCGUACCUAGAGGUGAUCAUUUCCAUAUUUGAAGAUCACCUCGUCCGUAAAAACCUGCCUGCAAGGUUCUUCUCGUGGUGCGUUAGAGCCGAGGAUGACGAGGACGAACAAACUAAAGCCAUUUCUCAAACACGUUUAGAAGAAUUUAAAAGUAAUAUAUUUCCAAUAGUGGAGAAAAAAUCAUCAUCUGGCAUUACUG